rnacentral:rRNA from 1 species
UACGGGGGGGGCGGAAGCGUUGUUCGGAAUUACUGGGCGUAAAGGGCUCGUAGGCGGCCAACUAAGUCCGACGUGAAAUCCCAAGGCUUAACCUUGGAACUGCGUCGGAUACUGGAUGGCUUGGAUUUGGGAGAGGGAUGCGGAAUUCCAGGUGUAGCGGUGAAAUGCGUAGAUAUCUGGAGGAACACCGGUGGCGAAGGCGGCAUCCUGGACCAAUAUUGACGCUGAGGAGCGAAAGCCAGGGGAGCAAACGGG